rnacentral:rRNA from 1 species
UACGUAGGGUGCGAGCGUUAAUCGGAAUUACUGGGCGUAAAGCGUGCGUAGGCGGUGAUGUAAGUCAGAUGUGAAAUCCCCGGGCUCAACCUGGGAAUGCCAUUCGAGACUGCAUAGCUAGGGUGCGGAAGAGGGAAGCGGAAUUUCCGGUGUAGCGGUGAAAUGCGUAGAUAUCGGAAGGAACAUCAGUGGCGAAAGCGGCUUCCUGGACCAGCACCGACGUUCAGGCGCGAAAGCGUGGGGAGCAAACAGG